UACGUAGGGUGCGAGCGUUGUCCGGAAUUAUUGGGCGUAAAGAGCUCGUAGGCGGUUUGUCGCGUCGACUGUGAAAACCUGGGGCUUAACUCUGGGCCUGCAGUCGAUACGGGCAGACUUGAGUUCGGUAGGGGAGACUGGAAUUCCUGGUGUGGCGGUGAAAUGCGCAGAUAUCAGGAGGAACACCGGUGGCGAAGGCGGGUCUCUGGGCCGAUACUGACGCUGAGGAGCGAAAGCGUGGGGAGCGAACAGG
rnacentral:rRNA from 1 species